AUUGAACGCUGGCGGCAUGCCUUACACAUGCAAGUCGAACGGUAACAGGUCUUCGGAUGCUGACGAGUGGCGAACGGGUGAGUAAUACAUCGGAACGUGCCCAGUAGUGGGGGAUAACUACUCGAAAGAGUGGCUAAUACCGCAUGAGAUCUACGGAUGAAAGCAGGGGAUCGCAAGACCUUGUGCUACUAGAGCGGCCGAUGGCAGAUUAGGUAGUUGGUGGGAUAAAAGCUUACCAAGCCGACGAUCUGUAGCUGGUCUGAGAGGACGAGCACACACACUGGGACUGAGACACGGCCGAGACUCCUACGGGAGGCAGCAGUGGGGAAUUUUGGAAAAUGGGCGCAGGCCUGAUCCAGCAAUGCCGCGUGCAGGAUGAAGGCCUUCGGGUUGUAAACUGCUUUUGUCCGGAACGAAAAGCCCUGGGUUAAUACCCUGGGGUCAUGACGGUACCGUAAGAAUAAGCACCGGCUAACUACGUGCCAGCCGCCGCCGUAACAC
rnacentral:rRNA from 1 species